rnacentral:rRNA from 1 species
AGGAGAGUUUGAUCCUGGCUCAGGAUGAACGCUGGCGGCGUGCCUAACACAUGCAAGUCGAACGAAGCAUCUUCCUCGGAGAUUCGUCGAAGAGGGAUUUGACUUAGUGGCGGACGGGUGAGUAAUGUAUGAGCAACCUGCCUUUCAGAGGGGGACAACAGUUGGAAACGACUGCUAAUACCGCAUAAUGUAUCGAGGGGGCAUCCUUUUGAUACCAAAGGAGCAAUCCGCUGAAAGAUGGGCUCAUAUCUGAUUAGUUAGUUGGUAGGGUAACGGCCUACCAAGACUGCGAUCAGUAGCCGGACUGAGAGGUUGAACGGCCACAUUGGGACUGAGAUACGGCCCAGACUCCUACGGGAGGCAGCAGUGGGGAAUAUUGGGCAAUGGGCGAAAGCCUGACCCAGCAACGCCGCGUGAAGGAAGAAGGUCUUCGGAUUGUAAACUUCUUUUAUGAGGGACGAAGGACGUGACGGUACCUCAUGAAUAAGCCACGGCUAACUACGUGCCAGCAGCCGCGGUAAUACGUAGGUGGCAAGCGUUAUCCGGAUUUACUGGGUGUAAAGGGCGCGUAGGCGGGGAUGCAAGUCAGAUGUGAAAUCUAUGGGCUUAACUCAUAAACUGCAUUUGAAACUGUAUCUCUUGAGUGCUGGAGAGGUAGACGGAAUUCCUUGUGUAGCGGUGAAAUGCGUAGAUAUAAGGAAGAACACCAGUGGCGAAGGGGGUCUACUGGACAGUAACUGACGCUGAGGCGCGAGAACGUGGGGAGCAAACAGGAUUAGAUACCCCUGGGUAUCCCCU